rnacentral:misc_RNA from 1 species
AACGAGGCCGACCUGCGGCUGAGUUACCUGCGGAAGGAUCAUUACCUAGAGUUGUAGGCUUUGCCUGCUAUCUCUUACCCAUGUCUUUUGAGUACCUUACGUUUCCUCGGUGGGUUCGCCCGCCGGUUGGACAAAACUUAAACCCUUUGUAGUUGCAAUCAGCGUCUGAAAAAACUUAACAGUUACAACUUUUAGCAACGGAUCU